ACGAACGCUGGCGGCGUGCUUAACACAUGCAAGUCGUACGGUAAGGCCCUUUCGGGGGUCCACGAGUGGCGACCGGGUGAGUAACACGUGAGUAACCUGCCCACAACUUUGGGAUAACGCUAGGAAACUGGUGCUAAUACUGGAUAUGUGCUCCUGCUGCAUGGUGGGGGUUGGAAAGCUCCGGCGGUUGUGGAUGGACUCGCGGCCUAUCAGCUUGUUGGUGGGGUAGUGGCCUACCAAGGCGGCGACGGGUAGCCGGCCUGAGAGGGUGACCGGCCACAUUGGGACUGAGAUACGGCCCAGACUCCUACGGGAGGCAGCAGUGGGGAAUAUUGCACAAUGGGCGCAAGCCUGAUGCAGCAACGCCGCGUGCGGGAUGACGGCCUUCGGGUUGUAAACCGCUUUCAGCAGGGACGAAGCUUUUCGUGACGGUACCUGCAGAAGAAGCACCGGCUAACUACGUG
rnacentral:rRNA from 1 species